rfam:Streptomyces chattanoogensis strain NRRL ISP-5002 ISP5002contig28.1, whole genome shotgun sequence.
CGAGCCGGCCGGGCGGCCGCGUGGAGACCUUCCGGUCUCCCCGAGGAACGUCCGGGCUCCACAGGGCAGGGUGGUGGGUAACGCCCACCCGGGGUGACCCGCGGGACAGUGCCACAGAAAACAGACCGCCGGGGCCGCAAGGCCUCGGUAAGGGUGAAACGGUGGUGUAAGAGACCACCAGCCUCCGAGGUGACUCGGAGGGCUAGGUAAACCCCACCCGGAGCAAGGUCAAGAGGAGCUGCCAUUCCGACUGGGAUGAUGGCUCUGCGCGGACGACCGAGGGCUGCCCGCCCGAGUCCGCGGGUAGACCGCACGAGGCUGUCGGCAACGGCAGCCCUAGAUGGAUGGCCGCCUCCCCUCGGCCCGCAAGGACCGGGGGAGACAGAACCCGGCGUACAGGCCGACUCGUCCG